UAUAUCUUUCAAACUUUAUACGCGAAAUUUUUCGAAAUUCGCGGUGACUAUCAGAUAAGCAUUCCACGUAACGUACAUAUUAUAGUGUGGGUCGUUGGGAUCGUUCGAUUAUAUAGUACCGGUCACCCAGUUACAUUGCCAGUGAUAUAUUGACGCUAGGGACAAAUUAUUGUACGUUAGAUAACGACAGGUUGAAAAAUUCAUCGGCUAUUUCCCAACGCUGGGCGAGUUAUGAACGCGACAUGUGUGUCAGAACGAAGCAGCGAGCUAUGUAAAUCGCCGCGAAUCGCUCGAUUUUGCCAUCAGGUUGUACAGAAAGUCGCAGAUGGAACAAACAUUCUAUUUUCUCAUACGUUAUCGCUUAACGCGUAUUAUCAAGUGACGGCUAAAAUUAUUCUAGUUCGCGAUAUAUCGUAUUUUUCUUUUAUGAAACAACGUAGUUCUUCAACUAGAAGUAUACUCCGCUACUUAUAUUUUUCGAAAAUAAAAAUUGGAAAAAUUGAACUGACCGAGAUAAUGUCGAAACACGGAAAAUAGAGCAAAAUGUGAAAAAUAAAAAUACGAUAAUUCGAGGAAAAUAACUCGUUAUUUUUUUUUAUUCUUUUCUAACUUUGUGGCUUUCUCGCGGAAUAAUAAAAUAAAACACCAGAAUAAAUGCGGGAUAUUUACGCGCAUCGAUUAUAUUUGGCAAACGAAAGCGAGAGCAAAGCUAAGAAAUGCAUUUUGAGAUUCUGCUAAAUCCACUGUAAUUCUAAUCCGCAUAGCAACAGAACAACGUACAAUAACGUAUAUAAAGUAACGUAAGGAAUUUCUAUUAUCUGUGAAAUUUUUGCAACACCUAUUUAACGCGGCUCCGUACAGAAGCGCAGGAUCGAGGCAGACAGUCGCGAAGGAGGCAAAGGUAAACGUCACGAGGCACGCCAUAGUGAAUUGCUUAUUGCAAGACAUAUAUCCAUGCCUGUAUGCAGAAGAAGGUGCUCACCUCAGUUAGAAUAUCCUCGGACUGAGCAUAUUUCCGCACCUGAAGAGAAGGUAGACAGUGAACGUCUGUUUACAAGCGACUUACCAGCGUGAGCAAAAGGCGCGCUCGCUUUUCCUUCAGCACGCGUGCAAUCUCAUCGGUGUAGUAAGUUUCAUCCACGCCGUAUCGCUCCUUCAAUUCAUCCAGGGUAUGCAGCUUGCCCUCCCAAAUCGCGUAUUCGGACGGUAACCUCGGCACGAAGAGAAUCGAGAGGCCGUUGUCCAGAUCGAGAGCGCCGUAACAUCCUGGCUCCUCCACUGCGAAGCACCAUUGGAAAAACGAUUCCUGAUAAAGAGGACAAAUAAUGUGAAAUGAGAUGAUUUCCCGGAAAGCUUGAGAUAUCGCUGUACAAUCUUGAAUAAUAGAGGGAUUUUCGAGACAAAUGUCGCAUAAGAAAAUGACAGCUGAUAAACCAUAUGAUUCCAGUACCUUUCCAAGUAAUUAUCUAGAAGUGGUACACGCAAUAUACUUUCGACCAUUACAUGGAAACUUUUGCGCUGGAUAGAAAUUGCGAAAGAUGCAAAUAAAGAGAUAAGAGAAUAAAAAAAAAAGAUUAAAAAUCCCUUAUUUUAUGAGAUCAAUGGUUGCUCGUGCGCGUGAAAAGAAAACUAAUGUUUGACGAGGUGAAACUGAUUACAUCAAUAUUUACGAUGUCACUGUAUACGCGAUGCUUCCGUUUUUAAUGUUAAGCUUUCAUUCUCGAAAUCGAAGUCUACAUGUUUCCUCGAAACAAAUAGGUCAACACGCAAGAUAUUACGUGAGAAAUCGAUGCUGCCUCGGUAAUAUCGUUCUCGUCGACUGUAUUUCAGAAGAAAUGAUAUUCCGGAACCACGUCAUCGAGUCGACACGCCAGGUCAUCCUUCGACCGGAAUUUUUUUUUCGACGAUUAAUAGACGACGUUUCGCAAUUACGAGGCCAAGUUUCGGUUUCCCGCACGAACAAAGGAUACAAAUCGUAUUCUACGGAAUUUCUCUCUUGGCUCUCAAUAGCCAAUUCCUUUUACCCUUUUACUUUUUAUAUAAAUAUGCGUUUAAGAAUUAUUACAAUGGCUUCCCCGCGGCGAUCUCACGCCCGACUGCGGACCUCGGCUUCGAAAAACUUUGUACAGGAAACAAGAUCACGCGAGUGUGUCCGCGUACGGUCGCUCCGAAGCUUCCCCUUUACUUAAGAAAGGCGAAACGGAAAUGCCGUUUCCACUGUUCGGCCCUUUUUACCAGGUUGAACCGUCGAGGUCAAACUGUAUAAAAGCAAUUUCGAAGACACAUCGCCCUUUUUCAUGUUCGUAUAUUUAUUGAUCUUCCCAGAUUGUCUCUACAUACAAAGGAAAUUUUCUCUUAGAAUUUACCCUGAAAAAAAAUAUGAUAA